rnacentral:rRNA from 1 species
UACGUAGGGGGCAAGCGUUGUCCGGAAUCAUUGGGCGUAAAGCGCGUGUAGGCGGCUCGGUAAGUCCGCUGUGAAAGUCCAGGGCUCAACCCUGGAAUGCCGGUGGAUACUGUCGGGCUAGAGUGCGGAAGAGGCGAGUGGAAUUCCUGGUGUAGCGGUGAAAUGCGCAGAUAUCAGGAGGAACACCUAUUGCGAAGGCAGCUCGCUGGGACGUAACUGACGCUGAGACGCGAAAGCGUGGGGAGCAAACAGG